AGUGGCGGACGGGUGAGUAACGCGUAAGAGUCUAACUUCAGGACGGGGACAACAGUUGGAAACGACUGCUAAUACCCGAUGUGCCGCAAGGUGAAACCUAAUUGGCCUGGAGAAGAGCUUGCGUCUGAUUAGCUAGUUGGUGGGGUAAAGGCCUACCAAGGCGACGAUCAGUAGCUGGUCUGAGAGGAUGAGCAGCCACACUGGGACUGAGACACGGCCCAGACUCCUACGGGAGGCAGCAGUGGGGAAUUUUCCGCAAUGGGCGAAAGCCUGACGGAGCAACGCCGCGUGAGGGAGGAAGGUCUUUGGAUUGUAAACCUCUUUUCUCAAGGAAGAAGUUCUGACGGUACUUGAGGAAUCAGCCUCGGCUAACUCCGUGCCAGCAGCCGCGGUAAUACGGGGGAGGCAAGCGUUAUCCGGAAUUAUUGGGCGUAAAGCGUCCGCAGGUGGUCAGCCAAGUCUGCCGUCAAAUCAGGUUGCUUAACGACCUAAAGGCGGUGGAAACUGGCAGACUAGAGAGCAGUAGGGGUAGCAGGAAUUCCCAGUGUAGCGGUGAAAUGCGUAGAGAUUGGGAAGAACAUCGGUGGCGAAAGCGUGCUACUGGGCUGUAUCUGACACUCAGGGACGAAAGCUAGGGGAGCGAAAGGGAUUAGAUACCCCUGUAGUCCUAGCCGUAAACGAUGGAUACUAGGCGUGGCUU
rnacentral:rRNA from 1 species